AUUUUCUCGCCAUCCAAACAGACCCAUACCCAAUUUUCUCGUCCAAAGCCGGAUCUAUCCACUGAGAAUCCCCAAUCAAACAUCCUUAGGCUUCUCCCAAUACGCGACUUCCCACUAGGAUUUGGAUAAUAAGCUUCAAAAUGCACUUUUUGAAUUCUUGAAGACCAGGAAGAUUUGGAUCCCUACACGAUGGAAUAUGUGGUUAGCACACGGGAUUUGGAAUGGCAAUCAACUGUUAUAAUGAGAUGAUGAGGGAAGCUAAGAGUGGAGGGAUGAGAGAAGGCAUGAAGAUCCCAAAAAUGAAGAAAUAGAAGACUGAAAUUGGUUCUGUCCUCAGAUCAACAAUGGUGGGCUGUGUUCCUAGCCCACAUUCAAUAUACCUCUAUUUUUUGUUUUUUUGGAUAAAUAAUAUACCUCUAAUUUUUAAUGGAUAUUAUUUCUUCUUAGUGAGUUCUUAUUGGAAAUUAUGAAUACUUAAGUCUUAUGCAUACCAUCACCAACAAUUUUUAAUACUUAUGAUUGCUUGACUACUGAAUAAUUAAAUAGGUUAUUGCGGAUUUGAAA